CAUUGCAAGCAUCCUGUCCAUCAUCUGUUUCGCUUACAGAAGGUUUGGCAGCUGUUGAAACGCCAGGUCCCAGUAGGUCAGAAAUUACAGCAAAUGCCACUUCGACAGCGUUGACACCGACUCCAACAGCCUGUCGAACUUGGGGAGCCCUCUUUUUCCGCCCUCCUUCAUCCCUUAUCACGCGUUAAAACUUUGAAUAUUGUUCACAGGUAUGGGGGGCCUAAUUUCCUAUUACUCAUUUUGUUUUCUCUCUGUAUAUAGUCAGUUUUAUAUUGUGAAAUAGUUCCGUAUUGAAAUAAAG